GACGGAGAGUUUGAUCCUGGCUCAGGGUUAACGCUGGCGGUGCGCAUAACACAUGCAAGUCGAGCGAGGGCUCAUUUCCCGCAAGGGAGAUGAGUUCCUAGCGGCGAACGGGUGAGUAACACGUGGGCAACCUUUCCUAUCGCGGGGGAUAACAGCGGGAAACCGCUGCUAAUACCGCAUGUCGUCACCAGUCGCAUGGCUGGUGAAGAAAGCAGCAAUGCACGAUGGGGUGGGCCCGCGGCCUAUCAGCUAGUCGGUGGGGUAACGGCCUACCGAGGCGAUGACGGGUAGCUGGUCUGAGAGGACGACCAGCCACACGGGGACUGAGACACGGCCCCGACUCCUACGGGAGGCAGCAGUG
rnacentral:rRNA from 1 species